rnacentral:lncRNA from 1 species
UGUGCAAGUUUUCGAUGUGCUAGCAUGCCCCCAUAAGGUGCAUCAUGGCAAUGGUGUAUGAUGUUGUCGACUUCCUCCUCUGGGACGCAACGACGGAAGAUAUGAUCGACACCUAUUUUGAAAAAAAGGGGCUCAUCCUAGUAGUAGUGUUUCAAGUCGUGGAAGAAUUUCUUCUUCUGCUGGUAAGUUAGCUCUGGAGGAAGUACUCCGG